rnacentral:rRNA from 1 species
AAUGUUGGACAAUGGGGGCAACCCUGAUCGAGCCAUGCCGCGUGUGUGAAGAAGGCCUUCUGAUUGUAAAGCACUUUAAGUUGUGUGGAAGGGAUUUAGGCUAAUAUCCUGAAGUUUUUACGUUACCAACAGAAGAUGCAUCGGCUAACCCUGUGCCAGCAGCCGCGGUAAUACAGAGGGUGCAAGCGUUAAUCGGAAUUACUGGGCGUAAAGCGCGCGUAGGCGGUUCAGUACGAUGGGCAUGGAUUCCCCCUGCUUAACCUGGGAACUGAUUUCAUAACUGCUGAGCUAGAGUACGGUAGAGGGUAGUGGAAUUUCCUGUGUGGCGAUGAAAUGCGUAGAUAUAGGAAGGAACACCAGUGGCGAAGGCGACUACCUGGACUGAUACUGACACUGAGGUGCGAAAGCGUGGGGAGCAAGC